rnacentral:lncRNA from 12 species
AUCACAUCUGGGCAGAGACUGUGCUGGCAGAAAAAGGAUAUGGGGAAAAUGUGCAUGUGGGGAGUUUCUGCCUGAUAAAGGGGAGGGGAGCAGCUGGCUGGAUGUUAAGACUAAUGGUAAGAUCAGGGGAAGAGAUUCCUAUCACUUCUCAGAUUGGUGUGACCAAAGCCAAGCUGGAGUGCUGGCUUUGGAGCAGAAGGACAAGGGUGGUAGCAGGUGCCUCGCAGAAAAGCCAGAUUGGAGCUACAGAUUUGUGUGUGAGUCACGCCGUGCUGUUGCAAUACUCACCUGGCCACGACCUCAGCGGAGCCCUGUCCCUGCAUGCAGGAGCUCUUUGGGGCUCAGUGAUUCAGCUGCAUCAGAGGACUUGUGCCUUUCCCCUGUGCCCAGCUGUGUGUAUCCGAGGAAGCAUUUCUGCCUGCUGGGGAGUGAAUCACCCAGGAGUGGCUCACCCAGCCCUGCCUGCUGCGAGCAGGAAGGGGAAUGGAAGAGAGGAGGAGUGUGGGCAGCCUUCCUCCUGCUCUUGGGACUGGGGCUGCUUUGCAAUGCCACGCACGGGUUCUGCAGAGGGACAAGAAUCAAGUGGGGAUGGAGGCCUUGGCUGCUCCUGCACAGCCCUGCAAGGCACUCUGUGGCUGUCACCCUGAGCAGAGAGCAGCCAGCCUGCCCUGUGCAUGGGCUGCAGCUUGUCCCAAGCCCUGUGGCUCCUUCUCUGCUGGUGCUUCAGGCAAGCUGGGACACGGCCACCGCACUGGGGACAUGGCUGUGUCACACACUGAGCUGGGCUGAUCCCUGCCAGUUCCCACAGGAGCUGCAGGCUGGGGAUUUUCCAGAUGGGGAAACUGGUGCAGGGCCAUCCAGCUGUCUCCCACAGGCAGUGUGGGGCAUUCUGUGUGGAUGGAGCAAACUCUCCUUGUGUUCUUUCUGCUGUGCUAUUUCAUUUGCUGUAGACUGCAUUUGCUGUUCACUGGCUCAGAGCAGUUAAGAGCAUCUAAUUUAAGAACUACUACAAUAAAAACAACUUGUGGCA